UACGUAGGUGGCAAGCGUUGUUCGGAAUUACUGGGCGUAAAGCGCGCGUAGGCGGGCUUGUAAGUCUCGUGUGAAAUCCCUCGGCUUAACUGAGGAACUGCACGGGAUACUGCUUGACUUGAGUUCGGGAGAGGGAAGCGGAAUUCCGGGUGUAGCGGUGAAAUGCGUAGAUAUCCGGAGGAACACCGGUGGCGAAGGCGGCUUCCUGGACCGACACUGACGCUGAGGCGCGAAAGCCUGGGGAGCAAACGGG
rnacentral:rRNA from 1 species